CCUGCCCUCAGACAUCAGUGAUCCUGGUUCUCAGGCCUUUGGGCUCAGACUGAAGUGCACCACUGGUUUCCUGGUUCUUUAGCUUGGAGACAGCAAAUUGUGAACUUCUCCGCCUCCAUAACCACAUGUUUUUGCUCUGAUGGUGUGCUGAAACUUCUCUGCUGGACUCCUGGACUCCCGGACUCACAUAAAGAAGCACCAUUUAACCCAGCCUGGAUCUGCUCUUCUGUGGCACACACCUUGUGAAUGUGACGAGGAACUGGAGUGGGGAAUGCUGUGACCCUCAGGCAGCAGCGUGAGUGAUUCACUGAAGAAGAGCCAGAGACGGACAUGAGG